GGCCGGUUAGCUCAGUUGGUUAGAGCAUGGUACUAAUAACGCCAAGGUCGCGGGUUCGAUCCCCGUACUGGCAACA